rnacentral:rRNA from 1 species
GAAAGCAGGGGAUCGCAAGACCUUGCGCUUUUGGAGUGGCCGAUGCCUGAUUAGCUAGUUGGUGGGGUAAUGGCCUACCAAGGCGACGAUCAGUAGUUGGUUUGAGAGGACGACCAGCCACACUGGGACUGAGACACGGCCCAGACUCCUACGGGAGGCAGCAGUGGGGAAUUUUGGACAAUGGGCGAAAGCCUGAUCCAGCAAUGCCGCGUGAGUGAAGAAGGCCUUCGGGUUGUAAAGCUCUUUCAGUCGAGAAGAAAAGGUUGUGACUAAUAAUCACAACUCAUGACGGUAUCGACAGAAGAAGCACCGGCUAACUACGUGCCAGCAGCCGCGGUAAUACGUAGGGUGCGAGCGUUAAUCGGAAUUACUGGGCGUAAAGGGUGUGCAGGCGGCUUUGUAAGUCAG